ensembl:lncRNA
AUGAGCUUUUGUUUUUUUUUUAAAUUAGGCAGCCAGGGCCAGCUACGGUCUCCACUGCAGUUUGAGUCAGGCCACCAGGAAGAAUCGGCAUGCCAGGGACUCUCGACUUUACUUGUUGUACUUCAUCCUUAUUCCCAGGGAUGGUUGCUUUUCACAGCGGACGAGAAGCUGCCAGCCUGCCCCCAGCCCCGGGCGGAGCAGUGGACAGAGGACAGACGGCCCUGGCAGCACCGUGAGAAGGGAGGCCGUGGGUCUGUUGGAUGCUCAGGCUCAGAGCAUCCCUCUCGCCCCCACAGUCUCCGCCCUCUCCGCAGCUGCGUAAUCACCCCCCAACCCCCGCCGCCAGCUGCCCUCUCAUCCCUGUAACCCUGAGUGAUGCUCGAUUCUGUGUUCAUCUCGAUCUCACCCCUUCACCCAGCGUGAGGAACUGGAAAACUCACCAACCUGACUUAUUCAUCCAUACAUUUGGCAUAAAAAGAAGUCUAGCAUUUUCAUUUUGACGUCUCACUCCUUCGCCGUUGAUUCCUCGGAUAGUGGCGGUCUCGCCGGGUGAGUUCUGCUUCCACCGUUCUUCAGGUGCAGAGGGAUUCCGUUCUUUGCCCAAAAGCAGCAUUCUUUUCACAAAUGUAUUUUGCAUGUAAGUUCCUAGCCACUCUCUUUUGUGGCGAUCUUUUAGGGAUGGGGUGGUUGUGGCUGUCACAUCUCUCUAGCAGAAACCGUCCUUGCCAGCUACAAGGUCCCUGCUCCACCCGGAGGGCGUGGGGAACCAGUCGGCUCCGCUUUGGGCAGCGAGCGCGGGUCCAGAGGGACUCUUAUUCUUGAGUCUCUUGCUUUCCCACACCCACUGAUACUGCUGCCCCCACCCUGCUGGCUCCUGCCAGCUCCCUGCCCCACCCAGGCAGAGCUGUCUCUAGGCUCUGCCAUCUGGGAGAAACUCCAGGGCAGCCCUGGGUGGCUCAGCCGCCAGGCUUGCUGCUGCUAACCCUGAAGUGAAGUUAAGUCGCUCAGUCGUGUCCGACUCUGCGACCCCAUGGACUGUAGCCCACCAGGCUCCUCCAUCCAUGGAAUUUUCCAGGCAAGAGUACUGGAGUGGCUUGCCAUUUCCCUCUCCAGGGGAUCUUCCUGACCCAGGGAUCAAACCCAGGUCUCCCACAUUGCAGGCAGACGCUUCCAUCAAAUCCGUCCCCUUCCCGCAUUCCCUUAGUCCCACCACCCAAGCAGGGCAGCGCCUCUCUUGCCCUGACCACGUGCCAUCCUCUUACUUGACACCCUUAUCUCCCACAUUGAUCUCUACCAACUCACCCCCUUUCCCUCUACUUUGCAGCAGGAAUGACUUCUCCAAAUCCCAAGUCUUAAUCACGUGAUUCCCCUGCUUACUCAUGCCCAGGUUUCCUACUGCUCACAAGUCGGAACUGCUGAACGUACUUGGAGGAAGGCUUCACAAACCUGAUUGUGCAGCAGAUCCCCAGGGGAUCUUAAAAUGCGGAUUCUGAUUCAAUAAAUCUGGAAUCAGGCCUGAAAUUCUUCAUUUCUAAUAAACUUCCAGCUGAAGCCAGUGUUGCAGGUCUGUGCAUAUACUUUGAGGAGCAAGGAAAUGCGGGGCUCCUGCCUAUCUCCCCAGCCUCACCCCUUGCCACCUCCGCAACUCUCCUCCGGCCACAUGGGGCUUAUUCUAGCCCCCAGAAGAAACCAAGCCCUCACUUACCCCUGGGCCUUUGCAUGUGCGCCCUCCCUACAGCACUCUCUUACCCUCCCUGGCUGGCUCCUGUGCUGUUGCAGUUGAGACCAUAGAAGUCGCUUCCUCUAGGAAGCCUUCUCUGAUUCUCCCAAGUCCAGGAGACAGAUUAUUAAGCAUAUUUGUGGUCUGGCAGUGGUGUGAGGUGGAGG